rnacentral:lncRNA from 1 species
UGGGGUUCUACUUUAAAGUCGUGGUCGUGGACAAUUUGGGAUUUAUUAAGCCAUGUUUUGGGAAUUUUUGUAGUUGCUAGGCUGUGGUUCUAUGUGCUGAGGAGGGAGGCGCUGCUGCUCAUGUUGCUGUUGCUGGAGUCCUCACUUUAUUUGUUAAGACUAUGUAAUGACCGAAUGAUGUUAUUUGUUUGUGUCAUCCUUGACUCUUUACCUACCGCAUGUAAUCCUGCAAUCGGUACUAGUAAUGCUAUGGUUAUUAAAAACUGUUUACUCCUUUUUUUAGCAAUAAUCUCUGCUUAUUAGUCAAGGGGUAGUUAUCACUUGUGAUCACUCGCAUAUCUAGGUUGCCGUCUUAAUCGGGGAUCACAGGAUUUGGCAUCUGCAAUAUUUUCUGAAAUUCCUAUUCUCGUACUGAGUGAAUUUCAUGCUCCCAGACUUUGGGAAAGAAUAAAUAGUGAUGGUGAAACGUCAUCUCAUUUGUUGGAACGGAGCUCAUCAGAUCUGCUCGGUUAGCUUCGUCGCCCACUCUCUUUGCACGCGUCAUUUUGUUAGCAUCACGCAUGGGAGAGGUUACAGCUAGCGCUGCUGACCCUUCCCCCACCAUGACGCUGUGACCGACCACACCCAUGGCUUGCUGCCCCUUGCAGAACCUCGUUGGUUGCAGGCCCGUGCUGGUUGCACCAUGCAACCCUCGGAUUGCUGCCCUUUGCCGAACCUCGUUGGUUGCAGCUGGGCGUUGUGCCGAUUCCAGCUUUGGGCUGUGCUGGUUGCAGCAUCUCGUCUUGUCCCUGCAACCCUCGGAUUGCUGUCCAAUGUGGAACCUCGUUGGUUGCAGCUGGGCGUUGUGCCGAUUCCAGCUGGGCGUUGUGUUGAUUCCAGCUUGGCCUGUGUUGGUUCCAACAUCUCGGCCUGUCGCUUGCAGCUGGUUGCGGCUUGUCUUUGCAACGUUACAACAUCCCCCAUGGGGUAGCAGUGGUUCACGCGCUUUCCAGCAAAACUUUUCGCAUAGAAAAACCGGGGAAGACCAAAGAUCUUGCGCGACCAGAAAAACUGAAAAGAGAAAGAGAGGUAUGCACUGUGAAGAAAGCCCUCUGACCCACUCUUCCUUCCCCCUACCUACCCAUAAGGUAAGUAGGGGCCUCGGCAUCUCUAUUUCCCGAGAAACCUAAUAAAACUACUUCGAGAAACCUACCAAUUCGAGAAACAAUACAAACCUACUAAAAUUUUUUUACUAGCCUCCCUUUUUGGGUGGCUUCCACUACUUGUGCGAGCGAGCAAUUAUAUUUCGGAUAUCCCGGGGUUCUAAGAUCUCGAGCAGAGGAAUCGUUGCGGAUUCCUAGCAAAAUUAGUUGUUGGUUCCAGCAAAAAUUGUCGCCGGUCAAAGAAAAAAGCAGCAAUGUUGUGGAUUCCUAGUUCCAGCAAAAAAUGUCACCUUUCAUAGCAAAAUACAUCGUCUAUAACAACAAAAAGCACCAUCGUGAGAUUGACCUGGGCCUCUUGGGUGUUUAAGCCAGGCACAUGUUGAUCCCUUUAACAUAAGGGGUAAGAGUCUGACGGCGUGCCAAUCAUCACCAUUAGCCACUGGAAUGUGAGGUGAUAUGUUACCCAAAAUCUCAUGUCCGACUCCAUGGUACUUGUCCAUCGUGUUUAUCGAUGAAGCAUGUCGGAUACAUCGCUAAGGAACCUACGUCUGAUGCGCGGACGGCGUCGCACAUAGUCCAGGCCGGCCGCGGGAUCGCUUUUCGUCGAAAGCUGGCCGGUUUGGAUCCCGAGCAUUCUGGCGCAGACUAUGUGCAUGCUGCUACUUGGUUUCUCUCAAGGAAGGGUCGCGAUGUUCGGGCCAUGGGGCCAACCCUCGAUUCGCCUUGGGCUGAUAUAUGGACGUGGAGAUACAUUAGCGGUGUUUGGCCUAUGAGGAUCCCCGUCGCGGCUAUCUGACUUCCCGGUUUGACAUGAGGAUGUGCUACCCGUGUCACCGGUCGUCCGGUGUGACUCUGUUUGUGUCACUGGUCGUCUGGCGUGACUCUUGGACAGGGCCUAAUUAUCCCGCUAGAUCAUCGCCAUCUUCAGAUACUCCAUCCCUUGCUCGAACCUUCGCUUGUCAAGAUGCCCUUUUGGGAAUUGUGUCAUGAUCAGGGCUCCUGUCACUACCUGCAUAUUCUUGGUCAUGCAUGGAUCAAUGGCGUUCGCCUCUUUCACCCGUCUACCUUUCAUGGCUAGGGAGGCCUUGUCCUUUGCCAGCAUGGUCUUUUCGAUGGGAUGGCAAGACCGAAACAACUCCUCACUGCGUCCAGGCCCGCCGCCCUCCUCUUAAAGCAUCUCUUCUCCUUGGAAACCUUGAAGAGAGUCGACACGACUUUCACUCGAACUGCAUCUUGCUCCUUGUUGAGGAAGUCCUGGAUUAGGGGGUCCUUGGAUAGCCGGACUAUAUGCUUAUGCCGGACUGUUGGACUAUGAAGAUACAAGAUUGAAGACUUCGUCCCGUGUCCGGGUGGGACUCUCCUUUGCGUGGAAGGCAAGCUUGGCGAUUCGGAUAUCUAGAUUCCCUUCUCUAUAACCGACUCUGUGUAACCCUAUUCUCCUCCCGUGUCUAUAUAAACCGGAGGGUUUAGUUCGUAGGACAAGAACAAUCAUAAUCAUAGGCUAGCUCCUAGGGUUUAGCCUCUACGAUCUCGUGGUAGAUCAACUCUUGUAAUACUCGCAUCAUCAAGAUCAAUCAAGUAGGAAGUAGGGUAUUACCUCCAUAGAGAGGGCCCGAACCUGGGUAAACAUUGUGUCCCCCGCCUCCUAUUACCAUUAGCCUUAGAAGCACAAUUCGGGACCCCCUACCCGAGAUCCACCGGUUUUGACACCGACACUCGUCUUUUAGGAUCGCUCCAUCAAGCGCUUCAAUAUCCCUAUCGCUGAAUUCUAACACCUCACUGCUUUCCUCCUAGCUUGGAUCUGGCGUGUCUACCAAAUAGCAGGACUCGACCGAGAUUGCCUCCCAUGUGUGGAGAUGCACCAUGGCUCGCGGUUGGUUAUUAGUCAACUCGCACAUCUCCUUAUCAUGACCAUUGAUACGUCUUCAUUGUAUCUACUUUUCCAAACUCUUUUACCCUUAUUUUGGACUCUAAUUUGCAUGAUUUGAAUGAAACUAAUCUAGACUGACGCUGUUUUCAACAGAAUUGCCAUGGUGUUGUUUUUGUGCAGAAAUCAAAGUUUUUGGAUCGACCUAAAAAUUUAUGGAGAUUUUUGUGGAAUAAAUAAAAAAAAUACUGGUGCAAGAAGUUACCAGAGCGCUCCACCCAGAGGCCAGAAGCCCUGGUGAUGUAGGGUGGAAACCCUAGGGCCGAUCUUUCACGAUUUGGAGGGGAUCCCGCGAAGAAGACGAAGAACACGAGGAGACACACGAGGGAAAUCACAAGAGGAACACUCAAAUCCACGAGAAUCGAUUACACAUGUGCUAGAUCCAUGAACACAAAGUGGUCACAAAGAUCCAAAGACAACAAAGUAAGGAUACAAGUAGCUAGUUCUUCUCCAAGAGGAGUUCUUGAAUCCAAGAUGGAUCUUCUCGUAGGUGGAGGCUUGAAUCCACUUGGGGGAUCUUCUCCUAGUUGGAGGGCUUGGCCUUCAAUGGAGUAGGUAUCAAGUGGAUGAGAAAAGCUCUAUCUCUCAUAUGAGCUAAACAAAUGCUAAACCUACAAAGAUGAAGGAGGAGGAGUACAUAUAGUCUAGGGUCACGAAAGGGUACAUGGGCCUCGGCCCAACACACUAUGCACAAACAGGCGCCGGUCAUCUGACAGCUACCGGACGUCCGGUGGCUCACGGGGGUCCGGUCGUCCGGUAGUUGUCAAACGUCUGUCAUUUUGGCUCUGAUCAGGCGGCGUCGAAUUUCCGAUGGACGUCGGACAUCCGGUGGGCCGAUCGUCCGGUGGACUUUGGACUUCUGACAUUUUGGUUCUGUGAUGGUGGCGCCAGUCGUCCAGAGGGGUUCGGCCGUCCAGGCGCUGGGAGGUGUCGGACGUCCGGCCCAUGUCGGUCGUCCGUCCGCUUAGCGUGCGCAGGCUGGGGCUCGGCUGGCUGGCUGGCGCUUCCAGGCGUCAAAUAUCCGACAAGUCUCGGUCGUCCGGUGGUUGGAGAUUUUCUGUCAGCUCCUCUUCUUGUUCCUUGUACUUGGUGUCCUCGCCGUCUUGGCCAUUGGAUGUAGUUGCUCCGUGGCUUCCCCCUAAGUACCUGAUCACACAUAGGGUAUCCGCUUGAGGUAGUAGUCAUGUCUUACAUGAAGAAUGUAUAAGUUCGGAGAGGAGCGAGUUCACCUUAUCUACGAUAGCCUUUGCUCGAGCUCUCGUCACUGGUCCAAGUGGUGUUGUGGGAGACAUAGGUAGGUACAUGGGGAUGACCUUAGGAUGCUCCGCAUCAUCUCCACCCCUGGGAAAGAGCCGACCUCGGAUCGAAAUCUUCAUCACCAUGGUAGGGUGAGAGAUCCUUGACGUUGAAGAUAUCGCUCACGUUGUACUUGUCACGUGGGAUGUUGAUCUUGUAUGCAUUGUUGUUGUAGCAUUCUAGAACUUUGAAGGGUCCAUCAGCUUGAGGUAGAAGCUUGGACUUGCGUUCAUUGGGGAAGCGUUCCUUGUGAAGGUGUAGCCACACAAGAUCUUCAAUGUUGAAUAUCAUGGGUUGCUUGUUGAUGUUGAGCUUGGUCGCGAGGCGUUGUACUUGGCGUUUGAUGGUGUGCCUUGUAUCUUCAUGCAUCUUCUUGAGGUAGCUCACUCGUGCACUCACUCCAUGUUGAUGUGCUCUUGUAGCGGUAGCGGUAAGAUGUCCAAUGGGGACAACCGGUUGAAGCCGUAGACGAGCACAGAGGGGGACUUGCCGGUAGUAGAGUGUCUUGCGCGAUUGUAGGCAUACUCGGUGAUGGGUAAACACUCCUCCUACUCCUUGAUGUUCUUCUUGAUCAACACACGGAGGAGAGUGGAUAGCAUCCCGUUCGUGACCUCCAUUUGGCCGUCGGUUUGUGGAUGGAAUGCCGAGGAGGACAAGAGCUUGAUUUCGAGCUUGGCGCAUGGGGUCUUCCAAAAGUAACUUAGGAACUUGACGCCACGGUCCAAGAUAAUAGUCUUUGGCACUCCAUGUAGGCGCAAGAUUUCCCUACAAAAGAGAUUUGCAACAAGUGAAGCAUCGUCUAUGUUGUUGCAUGGAAUAAAGUUUGCCAUCUUAGAGAAACGGUCCACAACAACAAACAUAGUCCUUUCCAUUUUGAGUUCUAGGCAAACCAAGCACAAAGUCCAUACUAAUAUCUUCCCAUGGGUGAUACGGAAUAGGAAGUGGCAUAUAGAACCAUGUGAUUGAGCUUUAGACUUAGCUUUGCGAUAUGUAGAGCAUCGCUUGGUGAAGCGUGAGACGUUGCGGAACAUCUUGGGCCAAAAGUUAUUCUUUGAUAGUGUAGCAAAUUUCUUGUCGCAUCCAAAGUGUCCCAUAAGUCCUCCAUGAGAUUCUUGCAAAAGUAACAAACAAAGAGAAGACUCGGGGAUACAUAGUUUGUUAGCUCUCAUAAGAUAACCAUCUUUGAUGUAAUAGCGUUCCCAAGAUGUAUGUGUCAAACAUUUGGCAUAGGGAACAUUUGGCAUAGGGAAUAUCAAAAGUAGGAUCAUGCACAUACAAGUCUUUUAUGUGCUCAAAGCCAAUGACACUCAAUUCUACUUUAGUAACAAGCAUGCAUUUGCGGGAAAGAGCAUCCGCCACAACAUUCUCUUUGCCUUUGAUGUACUUGAUGAAGUAAGGAAAUGACUCAAUGAAUUCACUCCACUUAGCAUGACUCUUAUUCAACUAAGGUUGACCCUUAAGGUACUUAAGCGUUUCAUGGUCGGUAUGAAUGAAAAAUUCGUGGGGGUGAAGAUAAUGUUCCCACUCACGCAAAACUCGCCCUAAAGCAUAUAGCUCUUUGUCAUAGAUGGGAUAAUUGAGUUGCGCUCCGGAAAGUUUUUCGCUAAAGUAAGCAAUAGGGUGCUUCUCUUGCAUUAACACACCCCCUAUGCCAUGACUGCUAGCAUCACAAUGGACUUCAAAAGUUUUGUCAAAAUUGGGUAACUCAAGCACGGGAGCAUGUGUAAGGAAAAUUUUAAGCUCAUUGAAUGCGAUAUCUUGGGAUGGUCCCCAAACAAAAGGUGCAUUCUUAUUACUCAAGGCAUGCAAAGGAGAUGCAAUGGUGCUAUAAAGUCCUUAAUGAAUCUAUGAUAGAAACCGGCUAAGCCAAGGAAACUUCGCACUUGUUGCAAGUUGGUUGGUUAUGGCCAAGUUUAAAUAGCAUUUUAUCUUAGAUUCAUCUACAUGAACACCUAGGCAACGAAACCCAAAAAAACGAGCUUGUCCACACCGAAUUUGCAUUUCUCCAUAUUAGCAUAAAGGCACUCUUUUUAAAGAGUUUGCAAAACGGUUCUAAGAUGGGUGACAUGAUCUUUGAGAGAUUUGCUAAAGACAAGAAUAUCGUCAAAAUAGACCACAACAAAUACACCAAUGUAGGGGCGAAGAACAAAAUGCAUGACGCGAUGAACGUACCGGGUGCUUCAGAUAAGCCCAUUGGCAUAACAAGCCAUUCAUAUAAGCCAAAUUUGGUCUUAAAUGCGGCUUUCCAUUCAUCACCUUCUUGUAUGCGGAUUUGGUAAUAUCCACUUUUAAGAUCAAUUUUAGAGAAAAUAGUGGCUCCACUAAGCUCAUCUAGCAUAUCAUCAAGGCGUGGAAUAGGAUAUCUAUAAUGAACGGUGAUAGCAUUGAUGGGUCUACAAUCGGAACACAUGCGAAAACUACCGUCUUUCUUAGGCACUAGUAUGACCGGUAUGGCACAAGGACUUAAACUUUCACGCACAUUCCCAUUGCCAAUGAGUUGUUGUACUUGCCUUUGUAUUUCCUUGGUUCCUUGAGGGUUGAUGCGUUAGGGUGCCUUGUUAGGAAGCGGUGAGCCAGGGAUGAGGUCGAUUCGGUGUUCGAUGCCUCAUAGUGGAGGUAGUCCCGAAGGUAGUUCAUCUUGGAAGACGUCCUUGAAUUCCUGCAAGAUAUUAGACAACACUAAAGGUAGAGGGUGAGAGGUGUUAGUUGUUGUUGCCUCGUCGUUGCACAAUAGGCCAUAGUGCAUAACACUUGAUGGGUUCUCACACACUUUUCUCAUCCCACUUUUGGUAGCGAAUAUCACUAAGUUUUUCUUGUCGCUCAUCAUGGAGGCACUCAUUUUGGGCUUGUGGAUCUCACUCCCUUUUGGAUGGCUCACCCUCUCACUAUUCUCUCCAUGAUGGGUGGUUGCUUGCUUGUCGGCGAUCACUUGGUUUGGUGACAUAGGUCGUAGCACGCACUCCUUUCCCUUCAUCUUGAAGCUAUAGUGAUUGAUUCUCCCAUUGUGGAUGACGCCGCGGUCAAAUUGCCAAGGUCGUCCAAGUAGGUAUGGCAAACGGACAUGGGAACCAUUUCACAUUCCAAAGUGUCUUCAUAUGCUCCGAUCUUGAAGGAUACUUGAGCCAUGUGCUCCACUUGAAUGGUGCCGGAGUCGCUAAGCCAUUGGACCUUGUAGGGCGGAGAUGCUUCAUCUUGACCAAUUGUAGCUUGGAACAUAGCUCUUCACUUGCCAAGUUGUGGCAACUUCCUCCGUCGAUGAUAACCUUCAUGGAACGACCAUUGAUGCCCGCUUUGGUGUGGAAGAGGUGGCAACGUUGGUCUUCCUCUUGUUGGUGUUGGAGCAUCAAGACCUUGGAGACAACGAGAGCGGGGCUCGAAUCAUUGUCACAAAAGACUUGAUCAUCUUCAUCUUCAUUCACUUGCUGGUGCAUGUCCACAUGCUCAAGGGCUUCCAUUUCCUCUUUAGUCAUGGAGUCAUAGGUGCCGUCGUUGUUGAGGAUUAUGGUACACUUAUUGGUACACUCGAAGGACUUGUGGCCUCGGCCGUCGCAUGUGAAGCAUUUGAAGGAGCUCAUCUUGAUGGUCUCAUCGAUUGGAGUAGAUGAUGAAGCUCUCGGCUUGAAGUUGCUUGUAGGAGGUGGAUGACUUGAAGAUGUCAAAAUUUUCUUGGAACUUGACUUGUGGCCAUUGCUUGGUGAAGCUUUUGUCGUAGAAGAAGGCGUCGAAGUCGUUGAAGCUUGGUUGUAGGAAGAGGCAUAGGACUUGGAAGAGAAAUUGGCAUACAUGAAGUCAUCUUGCACUUGUUGCCCCGCCUUGGUAGCUUGGUGCACUAUCUCGAUGAGGUUGGAGUAAGUUUGGAAGUUGGCGAUCUUCUUGAUAGGAUGAUUGAGUCCAUUCAAGAAACCUGCCAUAGUUUGCUCAUCAUCUUCCGUGACAUUGGCUCAUAUCAUGGCGAUCUCCAUUUCCUUGUGGUACUCUUCAAUGCUAUUUGUUCCUUGCUUGAGUAGUUGUAAUUUCUUGAAGAGGUCGCGGUUAUAGUAGGUUGGUACAAAGCAUGCUCUCAUGGCAUCCUUCAUUUGAGUCCAUGUUGUGAUGGGUGGUUCACCUCUUACCUCUCGGUGCUCAAUGACUUGUUCCCACCAAAUAAGGACAUAGUCUUGGAACUCAAGGGAUGCCAUGGCGAUCUUCUUAUCUUCUUCAUAGUCAUGCAAGCGAAAGAUCUUGUCAAUCUUCAAUGCGCAUGACAGGUACUCUUUGGGAUCAUUGCUUCCGAAGAACUUGAGCAUGGUGAACUUGAGCUUGCUGUAGCAUUGCUCUUCAUUGUGUUGGGGUCGAUGGUGAUGGCGUUCUUGUCAUGGAGGAGGGUCUUGGGCCACUAGCUCCUCGUGCUCCGCUUGAUUAGCGUGAUGUUGAGGUCGUGGAAGGUUAGCAUGAUUCCUCAUUUCUUGGCGCUCCUCAAUACGGGCGGCUUCUUCUUGUAGCACUUGGUGGAGGGCCUCUUCUUGAAGUCGUGCUUGGCGGUUGUGCUCGUUGACGACCAGUGUAGCUUCGUGAAGAGCACGUUGUGCUUUAAGGUUUUGUUCCUCAGGAUGUUGUUGCUCUUGUCGAGGUGCAUUGCCAUCUUGGUGUUGUUGUCGAAUGGCAUCACCAUCUUGUUGUUCUUAUCGAUCUUAGUGUAUUGGAUCUUGAUCUUGGACCAUAGGAUCAUUAUCUUGUUGACAUUGUUGUUCACGUGCCCGGAGACGGUCUUGUAAACCAUUGCCAUGGAAUGGGUUGUGCGGAGCUUGAUGAUCUUCAUGGUAGUGGCAACGGUACGAACGAGCUCAAGGAUGACUUGCAUCCGAAGAAGAUUGCGAAUAAUGUCGACUUGAGUGGCCCCGUCAUGAAUAGGAUGAUGUCCUAGAGGAGCGAUUGACCAUCAUGGCUCAUAUGUCUUCCUUGAGAGAGGCCAUUGAUGUGUCAAAGUAGUCUCUUGUACGUUGCUCGGAUUGUCACAAGUCGGUAGCGAGUAGGUCGAUGCGGUCGCCUAAUGCUUCAUUCUCUCUAUGCAAAGCUCUUUGUGCGCUGAAGAGGUGGUUCUUGGUGACGUAGAUGUUUGGGUCCUCAUCUUGCUCGAUGAAGAGUGGAUUCGAAGAAGUAGUUAGCCUAUCCAUCAUCUCAAGCAAAUGUAAGUGAAAGAAUGAAAAGAACUAGACCAAAUGUACCUUACCCGAUGUUGAAAAUGGAUCAAUGAUCACUCAAUAGUGUAACAAGGGAGUAGCACAAUUGGUACUGAAUCUCGUCGAUUUAUCACACCUACACAAAUUUGCAAAUGCAACAAGUAGACAAAUAGCAAGUAGAUGUAACCGGAAACACACAGACAUGAAAACAUAAAUGGGGUCAUGCAACCAAAAAUGAGCUCAAAAUGUGGAAUCCAUGGAAAAUGCUCUUGUUGCACAACACUGGAGAGAUGCUAGCAUGAUUGCUCAAUAGGCGGAUACGAGACUUUUGCACAACCUACAAAGCAAAAAUGCUACGACUUCUAUCCCAAGUAUGCUCUAUGUAUGAUGUUCCGGUGAUAUGAUCCAAGAUGAUCGAGUAUGACAAUCUUAAAGUAGUAUGAUGCUAUGGUUCUUGCUUAAAAGCUCUUUGCUUAUCUUUCUCUUUUGCUUAAAAGCUUGUUUGACUCUUUCUCUUUUGAGCUCUUUCUCAUGCAAGACUUGAAGAACCAAGGUAGAUAUUGUGUAUAUGCGGUGACAACCUUGUGACACAAGAGAUAAUACCAAGAUAUGUAUACCAAGAAGAUAUGAUAUAUGCAAUGAUCACUAAUGUGCACAAGUAACAUUGCCGACAAUACUCAAAGGCUAGUCUCGAUAGGUAAGUGAUGCGAAAAUGGGCUAUGGGGUUAUCAAUGCAAUGGCAAGGAGUACACAAAGUGUCGUCGAGGUUACGGUCCUUGCUUACGGUGGAUGGUGUCAAAAUGAUGAAGAGGUCGAGGUCGAUGAUAAAGAUGAGCGGUGGUGACGUCGAUGUCGAACCAUCCUUAAGUAGCCAAAACAUGAUAGGAGACGAAAACCGUAACUCAAAUUCGCAAAGACCAAAAGUGGCUAAAUUGUCGGAGUUGGUAGCGGGUAAGCGAUGGUGGUUGCGGAAAGCGGUGGUGGUAUGCUGCAAUGCAAUGUGGGGUUAUGGGAGUGGUGGUGCGGAAGGUGAAGUGGGCAGCUAGAAAUUUUCGAGCGAAAUUCAGUUCUGUCAGGAAAUGUCGGACAUCCGGUGACUGUCGGACGUCCGGUGCUUGGGCUAUUUCGGGCACGGGAUGAACUUCUAGGGUUCGCGGUGGACAUGCAAAAUUUGGUCAAAAUUUGACGGAUUUGUGGAUGGAAAAGGGGGAAAUGAUGGGGAAAAGCUAGAUCUACCUGCAAUACAUCAAAUCCACGAAUCAAAUCCAGCAUAACUUCAUCACACCAACAAAUCACAAAAAAAAGU